GUACCUCCAUGUCACAACUCUUGGUCUUAUCUCUGAGAUGCACUGAGCUUCUGGUCUUUUGGCCCAAUCUCCCCCAGCUCUUGAUGCGCCAAGUCUUUCCUGUGGGAGCUGGAGAAGAAAAGGACUGUAAAAGGAUCUUACUUUGAAAGUUACUGCGGUGGUCCAGGGAAAGUGCCAGCGGCAGUCUGGAACCGAGCCUGCCCGCCUGCCUCUUAGGUAAGGGAUCUGUACUUUCCCAGUGCUGGGCAAGAGACCCCUUCUGGGUCAGGGCAGGUGGUGAGCCAGGGAGCCAGGGGAGGGGGCGGUUGGAGGGGGCGCAUGCCAGCGAGCAAUGCCAUGUCUGCUUCUCACCUCCUUCAGGUAGACUGGGCAACAAUUGAAAAGACAGAGGGCAUAGGGUACAGUCCGUUCCUGGUCCCGCCUGGACAUCACACACUCAUAUUUACUCCUAGAACGAAAUGCAUGAGAUGGAAAAAUAGUCCAGGCAGCUCAAAGACCAUAUCCUACAGCUAUUAUUCCAAAUCGACAAGGUAUAUACACUCUUUCAGCAUCUGUGUAGAAAGUCUCAAGAAAGAUGGCCAUUUCAAAGCCAAUCACUCUGGCUUGGGAAGAGAGGACUUAGACCGGCCCAUCAAGACUGCAUGCCCCCUUCUGCAUCUGGGGGCACAUGGAGUGCCAGUGGGAAUGCUCAAAGAUGCGUCUUUGAAGGGCAUGGAGCCCCGGAGAAUUUCUGACCUGUGUGAACCCUCUCUCCCGCUGCUAGAAGAUAACUCAGAGAGGCGGCUCUGAGGUCACUUCACUGGACACAUGUUGGAAGAAAGGAAAGGGACAGCCUCACUUUCCAGCAUUGUCCAGAUUCAUCAGGAAGCAAAUCGGGACUGCUUUGUCAACUCAUGAGGUGAUGUUUGAAAACAGCACGAGACAGAGUCUAAGACGUCUGUCUUCUCA
rnacentral:lncRNA from 1 species